AGAGAGAAUGACUUCUUUCAUAUCACUGAAUGGAGCAACAUGUUUGGCCAAGUUCCUGUCCCAGGGAGGAGAACCUUCAGCUUGCAACAAGUCCUGGCCAUUGGAGAAGCCAUGAGACUAGACCUUGUGUAAAGCAGCUGAUUCUGCCAUGGGGGAAAUGCCCUUUUGUUUACUGAGCUUCUCCCACCCAUGCCUUGCUCCACUUUCCUCUAGAAGCCUGAGAUAUUGGGAAUAAGAGUCUCAGCCUCCAAGAGGAGGAGAACGUAUCAAGAAAGUCUGGAUUUCUGGGGUGAUUAACUUCACUUGAUUCAUUAGCCUAAGUGCUCAAGUAAAUUUCAAAUCACAGUGUUAUGUGUGAUUGUCCACGUCCUUCCUCCAAACACUCCCCACCUCCCACCCAAGGGCCCAUGUAACUUGCUAUUGAGAACCUUUGAUUUCUUAGGUAUUUGGGUGAUAGAGUUUUGUUGUCUCUCCUGAAGAAAACAGUGGCAAUUUGUACUCAGCUGUGGAAUAAAGGAAAUCAUGAUGAAAUUGAGACCUUCUGCAGUUAACUGUUUAAGUCAGGAUGAACUACUUUUCCAGGGAUGGUGAAGCCGGGGCUCUGGAUGGCACUCCUGGAUCUCCUAAAUCUUGAUUCUGUGCUCUUUUCUCCCCACUUGGCUCCACUGUUUUGGCAGAGUCCCUUAAGAUGGACCUGAUUGGAUCAUGUUGAACUAGCCAUGCAGAAAGAACAGAGGGUGGGAAAACAAAUGAGGUCAGAGAGUCCUCAUCCUCUUCAGUUGUUGGUACCUACGUGGGGAGAAGGAGUUGUGUAGAGUGGGUUUGACUAAGUCGGUCAGAACUGGGAAGCAUGGCAGACUAGGCUGUCCUGCAACCGGAGGGUGGCUUCAGAAUCCAGAGCCUGGGAUAGUAUUCCCUGGACCCUCAGUCCAUACCUGCUAUCUACAGGCAGCUAGAGAAAACGUAAGAAUCAGCAUCGGUCACAGGUGACAUUGGGGCAGGGCACUGAGCUCCCUGCUCUCCACUGCGGCUGCACAGUCUUUAAACUCCUUAUUCUAUCCAGCAGAGACAGUUUGCAGACGAAGGUUUCUGCACCGGCAUCUACGCUCAGAAGAGAUUUGCUGAUGUAACAAUUAUUUGCACUAUUUAUAUUCAAAUGUUCUUUUAAAAAAACGCAGCCUCCAAAUUUACGGAUAGUAACUGUGUGCAAAUCAGGAAACUUAUCUCCUUUUUAUAGUCUAAAAUCAAAUUACACUUUACAUUUUUCUCACUUGCAGAAUAUUAGAUUGUGAUGCCUAAACGACUUGUGUUUAUGAAAAAGGUGAAUUUUAAGAACAAAUUUUAAAACUGCAUAAGCAGUUUAAUAGGUGUUUUUAGAAAGUGAGAAUGAUCAGCUGGUAAGUAUUUAUUAUAUAUUAAACUGGAAGUUAUAUCGUCGCAUCCAUUAGCGCUGAAUUCUGAAAAUCAUCAUGGCCCAGGUUUGUGUUUAUGAACUGAUGGACCACAGGACUGUUAAAUAAAG
rnacentral:lncRNA from 1 species